rnacentral:rRNA from 1 species
AUUGAACGCUGGCGGCAGGCCUAACACAUGCAAGUCGAACGGUAACAGGAAGCAGCUUGCUGCUUUGCUGACGAGUGGCGGACGGGUGAGUAAUGUCUGGGAAACUGCCUGAUGGAGGGGGAUAACUACUGGAAACGGUAGCUAAUACCGCAUAACGUCGCAAGACCAAAGAGGGGGACCUUCGGGCCUCUUGCCAUCGGAUGUGCCCAGAUGGGAUUAGCUAUUAGGUGGGGUAACGGCUCACCUAGGCGACGAUCCCUAGCUGGUCUGAGAGGAUGACCAGCCAAACGGGAACUAGAACACGGUCCAAACUCUUAGGGGAGGAGGCAGUGGGGAAUUUUGGACAGAGGGGGCAAGCCUGAUGCAGCCAGGCCGCGUGUAUGAAGAAGGCCUUCGGGUUGUAAAGUACGUUCAGCGGGGAGGAAGGGAGUAAAGUUAAUACCUUUACUCAUUGACGUUACCCGCAGAAGAAGCACCGGCUAACUCCGUG